GACCAAACUUGAUCAUUUAGAGGAAGUUAAAUUCGAAACAAGGUUUCCGUAGGUGAACCUGCGGAAGGAUCAUAA
rnacentral:ncRNA from 1 species